UGGCUAACUCCUACGGGAGGCAGCAGUGGGGAAUAUUGCACAAUGGGCGCAAGCCUGAUGCAGCGACGCCGCGUGAGGGAUGGAGGCCUUCGGGUUGUAAACCUCCUUCGCUCAUGGUCAAGCCGCGACAUUGGUUGUGGUGAGGGUAGUGGGUAAAGAAGCGCCGGCUAACUACGUGCCGGCAGCCGCGGUAAUACGUAGGGCGCGAGCGUUGUCCGGAAUUAUUGGGCGUAAAGGGCUUGUAGGCGGUUGGUCGCGUCUGCCGUGAAAUUUUCUGGCUUAACUGGGGGCGUACGGUGGGUACGGGCUGACUUGAGUGCGGUAGGGGAGACUGGAACUCCUGGUGUAGCGGUGGAAUGCGCAGAUAUCAGGAAGAACACCGGUGGCGAAGGCGGGUCUCUGGGCCGUUACUGACGCUGAGGAGCGAAAGCGUGGGGAGCGAACAGGAUUAGAUACCCUUGUAGUCCUAUC
rnacentral:rRNA from 1 species